UAUGUAACUAUUUAAUGCACAGAUGAAAUGAAACUAAUGGGAAUAAAAUGGUUUAAUCUUUUUAGAAUGCAGCUACUGAAUGUUCAGUGAAGGCUAUAUCCUAGAAUCCUACCUCAGUCGCAGCAGAGGAAAACAUCAGAGUUUACUACAGAGCUGACUACAUUGUAAAUACUUGACUGAUGUUUUACAGGAGACCUCAGUAUUGUAGAUCAAUUUCUUGCAUGUUACCUAGUGAUAACUACGCAGCGUCCCAAACUUCUGAAAUGAGCUAAAGGGUUUUUCUACACCUUAUCUGAGCUAUAAUCUGUUCCAUAUUUUAGACAAAAGUAACUGUAACUGCCUUGUAACUGUAAGUGCAUCUUGUGCAUAUUUUAAUCCACAUGCAAUAUUUAUCACUCACAAAGAGGGUGGUAUGGUAUUCGGGCAGAAGAGUAGUAAUCAAAGUCCAUACACAUAAAACAACUUGGCAGGACCCUACAACUGCUUUCACUGAAACUGGUGACAAAACUCCAAGAGAGCUCAUUAGUACAGGAGCAGUUUUCUAAAAAAUCUUACUGUAAUACAAACAGAAAUACUAAUACUAAUACUAAUACUAACUAAUACUAAUACUACUACUAAUGGAGAAGAGUAAACAAUUGGAAAAAUACACCGUUUCAUGGCCCAUGCAGAAGAAAUUAAUGUUUUUCUGAAGUUUUCAUAAUAACUUUUUGUUUUUCAUUGCAGCUGAUAACUAUCUCUAUGAUGUUUUGUGCAAGAGUGAUUUUAUAUUGGCGUUGAUGCCAGUUUUAACCCAAGCAUACCUUGCCUGAAGUUGGAAUCUGCGGCUGUUUUAUAACAUCUAUCAUGUUUUUACAUGUUUAGCAGCAGUGCUAAUGAAGGUCUGAACCACAGAGUAAAGGAUGCCAGGUAGUGACUGCAAAAUCCUCUGUAUGGCAGACCUUAGAUAAGGUAGAUGGAAAUAACAGCAAGAAGCAAGUAACCCGACAAAGGUAAAAAGGAGUGGUGGUGGCAGAGAUGGAUGCAGAUGUGAGCUGGAAAUCGAUGACACCACCCUCAUAAUUAACCACCAGUAAUCCUCCAGUUGAUAAGAAAAGGACACAGCAGCUGUUUCUCAACUUCUGGAUGCCUGCAAAGAGUUGUCUUCUCCCAAGGUGAUAACCACAGCUUUUAAAUGAGACAACACUUGUAAGUGCUAAUUUACACUUGAAAAUGUACAUGAAAUUGUUCUUUACAUAAACAAAAUACAUCCAUCCUUAAAGCCAUGCCAUUUGACUGUGAGAGAGUGAGGGGACAGGAAAAGUUACAGACUGUUGGUAUAGAAGGGAUUAAACAGAAAGUGACAUGGGUUUGUGUACGCCUUUGGGAUGGAAGGCAAAAGGAACAGGGCUGGGAAAACACAGCACUCCUCUUGUGCUGGGUGGGUCUCAUUUGAAUUGGUGCUUGGGGGCAUGUUCCAGUAUUGUUAUGUAGGAAACUUCUACCUCUGAAUUACAAAUCACAUAAUAAGAUGUAUAUAUUGUACAUCAGGGAUCCACAAUUUAAAUUUACAUCUUAUUUUGCCUUUGCUUCUUGAAUUUGGCUGGUUUAGUGAAAAUUUCUACAAAAAGAAAUCUCUUAAAAAUGAUUUAGUUUGAAUCGUAUUCAGUUAACUCUCCAUUACUUGUGGACAAUAUGUGCCAGAUGUGGCCCAUUUUGGUAUAGAGCUAUAUGUAAUCUAAAUGCUUAUAAGCUGUAUUUUAGCGAUAUAUCAGCAAUAAACCAACUAUGAAUUCAUGCCAGCUCUGUGCAGAUCCAGCCACAAUGUCUCAGCAUUGUCCUGCAGCUACAAGGACCAUGGGGGUGAGUUGCUUUUCUGACUCUGCAUGGACCUGUCUGGCUGGUGCUGAAAUGGAGCAGUAAAACUGGUAGGAGGGGACCUGAUUCUUCCACUUUUCCACUGUGCUGCUCUGUGCUCAGGGAGGACGUACCAGCUCUGGAAUGUGCACUUGGCCUGCAGCAUCUUGGAGGACUGUACAUAGAUACCUGAGAAGCUCAGUUCAUCUCCCAUUCUGGGCCUGCGCUGGCUAU